ensembl:lncRNA
CAGGCAUUAUGACAGGUCCCUACUGUACCCUACUGUUGUGCUGAAACCUUUCUUUGCCCCUAAAGCUAAGGGAUGUGACCCCUUAUGUCUACCUGAUGGGUUUGUGAACUGCUCUGCUGUCAACUUUACUGUCAACUCUACAUGCCGAUUGAGCUGUGAGAAGGGGAACCUACUGCUGGGAUCCCCAGAAGUCAGCUGUGGCACGGACAGGGUCUGGACUGCAGUCUGGGGCGAUGACAUCUGGAGCAGGAUCUGGGUCUGGAGCGGGAUCUGGGUCUGGAGCGGACAAAGGUUAUCAGCAUGUCCUAAUGGCUGUAGCUGCUGGUUGGAUGCUCUCAAUGUCCUGCUGCAUCUGCUGUUGUUUCAAUCACAGAAAAAAAAAAAAGCAUGCUCAACUAAGGGAACCAGAUGAGGGUGUGACGUCAUCCAACGAGACAGGGGACAACUGAUGGACCUCUGAGACUUCAUACAUUAUGUCAAUCUACCUAUUAUUUCAACAUACUGUGUGGAUUAGUCCACAUCAAAUACAGUGCCUUGCGAAAGUAUUCGGCCCCCUUGAACUUUGCGACCUUUUGCCACAUUUCAGGCUUCAAACAUAAAGAUAUAAAACAUAACAUAAACAUAACAUAACAUAAAGAUAUAUGUAUUUAUCAUCAUUAGUCAUUUAGGUCAACAUUGGAUCAUUCAGAGAUCCUCACUGAACUUCUGGAGAGAGUUUGCUGCACUGAAAGUAAAGGGGCUGAAUAAUUUUGCACGCCC